GACAAACCCUAUCGACUCCUUGAGCCCCGUGUCCCUCCUUCCCCGCACUCCCCACGCUCGCCGCCUCUCCCCCGCUUCUAGUGGUGGAGCUUAGUGCAAGCAAAACCAGGCUGUGGCCCGCCCAGCUUUGCUACAAACCAAUGUACCUGAAGGGUGAAAUGGGGCAUGGAUGGAAAAAACGAUGUGCUUUCUCUAAGCUGGCCCGCCCAAUCAUUUCAUUCUAGCUCCGCCACUGCCCGCUUCCCAUCGCCAUAGACGCCGCUCCUGGAAUCCUCCACCCCCCAGGAUCUCAGUGUCGAGCCGGAGUUCAGGGGCAAGGGAGGAGCGAAUCGACGACGGCGCAAAUAUUAAGAAGGGGAUGGGAGAUCGAGGAGGGAGAGACCUGUUGCAAAGGAGAGGUGAUACGAGGGUGGGCGGAGGUCACGCAUCGGCACCGGGACGCGUAUGCAAAGCAGAGCGUGAGAGGUAAUGCCGACCGGCCAGCGCCUCUCCACCGGCUAUGUUUGCGGCGGCAAGGAGAAGGCACCGAGGAUGUGCUGCUCGGUCUUGGGGUUCAACUCCCUCUACGGCGAAGAGGCUGGCGGGCUCUCGCUCUGGACCAGCCAUGUCGAGCGACGGUGCCGUUCUAUGAAUCUGGCGUCCCCUCUCCUGCAGCGAUGUCCUCCUCGAGUCUCAGGUGAAAGAUGGUGAGGAGAUGGUUGGGACGGUGCUGCUACUACGCAGCCUUGGUGAUUAGAGUGAAUGGUCUGCUCUUUGCUGUCAAAUACUUCAAUUGAUGGCUCAUUUUCUAAAUACAGAUUGGAUGUCGCAUGUUAUUCCCCAAGAGGGCAGUUAUUGAGACCCACUUCAGAAAAAGAAUGAAUGUCGAAAACAGACAUAAGGGUGCAGGUCCUUCCGACGAUGUGACAGGAGAAACACGAGGAUAUGCAUUGGUGGAUCUGACAAGGAGGUCGCUAUCUACCUCCUUCCAUGACGGUGAACCUCCAACUAGAUUUUAUUUUCCAGUAGGAUAUGCAGACAAUCAAAUACAUGUCUUUGGCCUCUUUUUGAUGUGUGCAUUACCAUGUUCUUCCCACUGUCCCACAAGUACUGUUCAAUCUAUCAGUUGUUAGCGGAUGUCGUGCUCUGACUAAGGUUUGCUGCCUUCCUCUACUAUAUGGUUGUUAGCGGUUGUCGUGCUCUGACUAAGGUUUGCUGCCUUCCUCUACUAUAUGGUUGUUAGCGGUUGCCGUGCUCUGACUAAGGUUUGCUUCCUUCCUCUACUAUAUCUCUUGGUUUUAUGGGCCAUUCUUACAAACCUUUGUUGUGUAGGAGGCCAUGUUAUUUUGGUGUGUGAGAGAUGUAUUGCGGGCUGACAGGUGUUGAUAUGUCCAUUUUGCAUCAUGCUUUUAUAUCGAUAAGCAUUAUGGGCUGUUAUUACACAUUAUGUCACAAUACUUAUUUUUACAAGGUUUACAUGAACAGGGAGAAUGCCAGCAGCUGGAAUUCUGGGCUGGAAAAGGAGCAAAUAUUAGAGACCUAUUCUACA